rnacentral:rRNA from 1 species
CACGUAGGGCGCAAGCGUUGUCCGGAAUUACUGGGCGUAAAGGGCGCGUAGGCGGACAGUUUAGUCAGACGUGAAAUCCCUCGGCUCAACCGGGGAACUGCGUCUGAUACUGGGUGGCUUGAAUUCGGGAGAGGGAUGCGGAAUUCCAGGUGUAGCGGUGAAAUGCGUAGAUAUCUGGAGGAACACCGGUGGCGAAGGCGGCAUCCUGGACCGAGAUUGACGCUGAGGCGCGAAAGCCAGGGGAGCAAACGGG